UUCACUUCACUUCACACGUGUAGACAAAGGGAGCCAUCAACAGCCAGCAGCACCAACAUUUCCCCCAACUCUCCAACUUCAGCCAGGAGCCAGGAGCUCCUCGGACCCCGCAGAUCUAUGGACAGAAGAAGAAAACCUCAUGAUGUUCAGGAUACCUCGGUCAACUUUGGGAUUUUGGAUAGUAAAGACUUCUUGUUUGGCAACAUUGUCGGGAUUACCUUUCCUCAUUGGGAUACUGUUUUCCAUGGGAUUACUGUACCUUUUAUACAGAACCUAAAGAUUUAUACAGAGAUAAAUCUAUGGUAAUGAAGGUGAUUAACUCCAGGCCGGGUGUCUCAAGCUGUAGGCAGCCUCAGCGAACACGCAGAUUUAUGGAGACGACGACAGUUUGCUGCUAUGGAAAUGUGACGCACGGAGAAUGCAGAGCAAGGGUGGAGUAGUUAAUCCCUCGUCCAACCCUUCUCCUUUCUCAACUUAAGCUUGGGACCGGCUAUGGAUGGGUGAGCAAAGGCUGGGCCCUGAAUCUGCGAGAGAUAAAGGAAGUGGGCAGCUGUGAAUGGAAACUGCUUUUUUGGGCAAGAAGUGCUGGACCUGCAUUCAUCACCAGUGAGCAGGUCUCGGUGUAAGCAAAAGUUCAUUGUGGUAGGACCGCUGGUAUCCUCAGAAGGAGAAGGAGAAGUCCAGCAUCAGCAAAGAGGAGCAGGAGGAGCCUCCCUCCACAAGCAGAGGAUCCAAGGCUUGGCCUCAGCCCAACCCCUUCGACUCUAUUACAGCUCUUGUUGCUACAGGGUGCUGAGCCGUGGUGAACUUUGACACCUGACUUAUUUUCAAAGGCGGCCUCUAACCCCGCCUACCCCUCACCCCCCACCCUGCACUGUAGGUCUUCCAUCUACUGUGAGUUUAAGAGAGAGGAGUGAGGUGCAGGUGAAUGGUUUUCUUUAUUUAUUUAUUGCUCUGUGUUUUUUUUUCCAAAAGAAAUAUCAACCAGAAAAAAAGAAAAGAAAAAAGGUCCAGCUAAAAAAGGAAGGAAGUCAAAAAUAUUCAGUUUGAGGUGAAAACUGAAAAUAAUACAUCACGCUUAGCUCUUAUUUUGUUGUUUAUUUUCUUUUCUCAAUAAGGGCUUAUUAUCAGCUACACAUCCUUUUUUUUGAGUUGUCUUCUCACAGUGGAAGGAUGGCAAGAAACAAUUGUGGAUUUUUUAAGAUCUGAAGCAAGAGUGAAGCUCGAUUAUCUGAUGGUGAUAGUUUUGGUGGGCUUGCGUGGUUGUUAGGGGUCCCAGUUUUCAAUUCCUCUUCCUUAUGCAAGUGAAUUAUUUUAUAUGCAAUCUCCUCAGAAAUAUCUCUCAAAAAUAAAUAACUGGUAUUUAAUGGCUGUUUUGAUUGGAAAUUAAAUAAAUGAAGGGGGAUCUCUCAGUUGGUUUUAGUACAGUGUUCAUUUCUCACACAUCUGCAGAUCUGCAAGCAAUAAAUUCACAGUGUAGCUGAAGUUUCUGGUUCUACUGAUCCAACAGUUAGCAAACACUCGAAUUACUAUAAGCUUUUUUUUAAAUCCUCAAAUCCUUAAACACCCUCCAAAAAUCAUUUACAAAACAAUACCACCUGCUAAAAGGCUAUCUAUUGAGCUGUGUACAUCUCCAUUCUUUUUCUGCCCUGAAUCAAUUGUUUUCGUUCUCUCCAUUUUUUUCUGUUGUAAAUCAAUUUCGGCUCCAGGCUAGUCUUCCUUCUAGGCAGCGUCUGCUUUGAUUCAGGCUCCCACCACAGCUUGGCGGAGGAGCGCAGGCAGCCUUGAGUUCUUUGAGGGAUUUAUAACCCCCCCACACCCCCCACCCCCCCGUCUGAGCUUACCCGACUCCAACACUGACUUUAUCUGCCGCCCUCCAUGGGACCACUGGCGAUGUGAAGUUCUAAACUUUGGCAUGAUUCAGUGGGAAUACUGUCAAAGCUCUGGCGUACCUUCCAAAGCAGACACACCUGCAGGGCCCAUGUCCUUCAAAGGCCGCGAUCAAAAAGAGUUCAUUAUGAAAUUAUAUCUGGCGCAUUUGACUUUUCCUGUUGGAAGACAACCUUGGAAAUUCAAAGUAGGUUAAUAAAAGUUUGAACAAACAGGGUUUAAG